rnacentral:rRNA from 1 species
ACGCACGCUGGCGGCAGGCUUAACACAUGCCAGUCGAGCGCCUCGCAAGAGGAGCGGCAGCCGGGUGAGUAACGCGUGGGCACGUACCCUUAUCUUCGGAAUAGCUCUGGGAAACUGGAAGUAAUACCGAAUGUGCCCUUAGGGGGAAAGAUUUAUCGGAUAAGGAUCGGCCCGCGUUGGAUUAGCUAGUUGGUGGGGUAAAGGCCUACCAAGGCGACGAUCCAUAGCUGGUCUGAGAGGAUGAUCAGCCACAUUGGGACUGAGACACGGCCCAAACUCCUACGGGAGGCAGCAGUGGGGAAUAUUGGACAAUGGGCGCAAGCCUGAUCCAGCCAUGCCGCGUGAGUGAUGAAGGCCUUAGGGUUGUAAAGCUCUUUCACCGGAGAAGAUAAUGACGGUAUCCGGAGAAGAAGCCCCGGCUAACUUCGUG